UAACAUCCGGAAACGGGUGCUAAUACCGCAUAGUUUCUUGAUCGCAUGAUCGGGAAAGGAAAGACGGCCUUUGUGCUGUCGCUUAUGGAUGGACCCGCGGCGUAUUAGUUAGUUGGUGAGUAACGGCUCACCAAGACGAUGAUACGUAGCCGACCUGAGAGGGUGAUCGGCCACAUUGGGACUGAGACACGGCCCAAACUCCUACGGGAGGCAGCAGUAGGGAAUCUUCCGCAAUGGACGAAAGUCUGACGGAGCAACGCCGCGUGAGUGAAGAAAAGGUUUUUCGGAUCGUAAAACUCUGUUGUCAGAGAAGAACAAGUUGGAGAGUAACUGCUCCAGCCUUGACGGUAUCUGACCAGAAAGCCACGGCUAACUACGUGCCAGCCGCCGC
rnacentral:rRNA from 1 species